rnacentral:rRNA from 1 species
UACGGGGGGGGCAAGCGUUGUUCGGAAUUACUGGGCGUAAAGGGCUCGUAGGCGGCCAACUAAGUCAGACGUGAAAUCCCCGGGCUCAACCCGGGAACUGCGUCCGAUACUGGUAGGCUUGAAUUCGGGAGAGGGAUGCGGAAUUCCAGGUGUAGCGGUGAAAUGCGCAGAUAUCAGGAGGAACACCGGUGGCGAAGGCGGGUCUCUGGGCCGAUACUGACGCUGAGGAGCGAAAGCGUGGGGAGCGAACAGG